AAAGGGAGAGCACUGGAAAGUGGAAACAGUUCACCGUUUGAAUCUCUCUCUCUCUCGUAAGAGGCAGAAGAAAAGAGGAUGUGUUUGUUUUGGAAGUCUGCAAUGGUUGGGGAAUUCGGAGAUGGGAUGAUGGAUGGAGUUUUGGGAAGGAAAGGGCUUCGGUGAAACGCUCUCCUCCUUCCCUCUCUUCCCUCUCCUACAAUCUUCUUCUACUAUAGUCGAUGACCCAAAGCCAUCUCUUCCACUCCUCGAUCGAGUUCCCUCUCUUGGCAAUACUCGACCCUUGUUUUCUGUCGAUAGGGAGAGAGACAGAGAGAGGUUGAACCUUUCUCCUGAAGUAGAUAAUGGUGUGCGUUUGUCACAAUUUAUUAAUGUAUGGCUGCACUGUAUGUUUCGCAUCCGAAUAUUUCAAUCUGGACCGUCCAAAUUGCGGGAAGUACUUUAGAUGGAGCAUAGAUGGAAGACUGCGUUGAUUCAACGAUCCAAAUUGUCCUAUUGGCCAAUAUAGCAUAAUGGUUAGAAAGAAAGCUGUCAGUUGGAUAAAUUCAGCUGGCAGAAUCAGAUGAUUAAGAUUGGAUGAUCGUUGCCUGGCUCUGCUUCAUGAUUUGGAUGGUUUGGAUUGAUGUACUGGCGGGUUUCUGCAGACGCUUCCUUCUGUUACAUUGAUUGGUAUCCCGAAAUGUCGGGAAGGAGUCUUUUGUUUCAACGAUUUUUGGAAGUUUCUAAAUGAUCUUCAUGCAGAUGAGGGAUUAUUCUGGUAGCUAUUGCUCAACAUCAUAAAAAAGAAGGUCCAUAGCUCUAUAAUUUUCUGGAUGUUCAAACGAUGGACUUUCUUUCAGAGCUGGCUG